UGGGGAAUAUUGCGCAAUGGGGGGAACCCUGACGCAGCAACGCCGCGUGAAGGAAGAAGUAAUUCGUUAUGUAAACUUCUAUCAACGGGGAAGAAAGAGAUGACGGUACCCGAAUAAGAAGCCCCGGCUAAUUACGUGCCAGCAGCCGCGGUAAUACGUAAGGGGCGAGCGUUAUCCGGAAUUACUGGGUGUAAAGGGUGAGUAGGCGGCUUAGCAAGUCAUAUGUGAAAGACCAGGGCUUAACCCUGGCAGUGCAUAAGAAACUGCGGAGCUAGAGUGCAGGAGAGGCAAGCGGAAUUCCCAGUGUAGCGGUGAAAUGCGUAGAUAUUGGGAAGAACACCGGUGGCGAAGGCGGCUUGCUGGACUGAAACUGACGCUGAGUCACGAAAGCGUGGGGAGCGAACAGG
rnacentral:rRNA from 1 species